rnacentral:tmRNA from 1 species
GACUGGAUUUGACAGCGGGCAGAAGGCGUAUGUAAGCAUGCAGUGCGUCGUGAGCGCUCACUAUAAUCUGAGCUUUCAAAAAUUUAAUUGGCGAAAACAAAUACGCUCUCGCUGCUUGAUCGAAGCAUAGUAAAUCGAGCUUUAUCCGGGCACAAGGUGUCCGGACGAGACAUCGCUCCGAAGCCGUUGUUCCGAGGCUCAUGGGUUAAGCGGUGCACGUAAAUCGGGAAUAGCCGGCGACAGUCCCGCGGCGUCGGCGAAACUUUAGCCGGGAAUAAGGCAACGACCGUAUACGACAGCUUCCUGCGUGGCCGUUGCACGAAAACCUCCAGCGAAGCUAAGCAUGUAGAAAGCAUAGGUUUUCCCCGUUUGGACGAGAGUUCGAUUCUCUCCUGGUCCAC